UUGGCGGCGAGUGGCGGACGGGUGAGUAAUAUAUCGGAACGUGCCCAGUAGCGGGGGAUAACUACUCGAAAGAGUGGCUAAUACCGCAUACGCCCUACGGGGGAAAGGGGGGGAUCGCAAGACCUCUCACUAUUGGAGCGGCCGAUAUCGGAUUAGCUAGUUGGUGGGGUAAAGGCUCACCAAGGCAACGAUCCGUAGCUGGUUUGAGAGGACGACCAGCCACACUGGGACUGAGACACGGCCCAGACUCCUACGGGAGGCAGCAGUGGGGAAUUUUGGACAAUGGGGGAAACCCUGAUCCAGCCAUCCCGCGUGUAUGAUGAAGGCCUUCGGGUUGUAAAGUACUUUUGGCAGAGAAGAAAAGGUAUCCCCUAAUACGGGAUACUGCUGACGGUAUCUGCAGAAUAAGCACCGGCUAACUACGUGCCAGCAGCCGCGGUAAUACGUAGGGUGCAAGCGUUAAUCGGAAUUACUGGGCGUAAAGCGUGUGUAGGCGGUUCGGAAAGAAAGAUGUGAAAUCCCAGGGCUCAACCUUGGAACUGCAUUUUUAACUGCCGAGCUAGAGUAUGUCAGAGGGGGGUAGAAUUCCACGUGUAGCAGUGAAAUGCGUAGAUAUGUGGAGGAAUACCGAUGGCGAAGGCAGCCCCCUGGGAUAAUACUGACGCUCAGACACG
rnacentral:rRNA from 1 species